CUGCUGAUCAAUGGGGGCACUUCUAUUGGAAAACACUGUAUUAAUAUAUCAAUGACAGGAAGGGUUGAAAGCAGGCCUUUAUCAUUUACAUUUCCAACAAUCAAAUCAAGAAGUUUAGCUACACUGGAAGCAUGCAUAUUUAGAAACUCAGUUCCACCCAGAAUUAUGUAACUCUCAAUAAUAUUGACAGCAACCUGCAAGUGAUCAAAACUUCUUUCCAUGAUUUCCACCAGACAUGGGAAGUAUGUUAAUAGUUGAGGCACCAUUG
rnacentral:misc_RNA from 1 species